AUGAUUCUAUUAGUAUAUGUAGAUAACCUAGUGUUGACAAGGUCAAACAAAGAAUUAAUAGAAUAGUUCAUAGAAUGUCUAGAAAAAGAUUUUGCUGUUAAAGAUAUAGAAAAACUUCAAUAUUUUUAAGAAUUGAAGUAAUUUACAGUUGAGAUAGAUACAAAAGAUAAGGAAACAGCGUAUAGUGAUGAAUUUCAUGAUAAAACAUUGUAUAAAUACAAAAAUCAUUAAUGAUAUACAAUAUUUUGAUAGAAAUUCCAUUUGCUAAAUGUCAGCCCACCUCGAGAUCAUUUUCACCGCCGGUUGUUCAAAGAAAACGUAAACAAUAGGACAGAUGGGAGACCGUUGGAUUUAAAAUUCUGAAAUGCUAAUGCCUCAACGCACGAUGGCGCAUACAGUGGGUGGCGCAUCAGAUAUAAUACCUAUAAAAUAAUUCAUUCAUCUCCUUUGAUCACAAGCUUCAGAAGAAAAAAUCGAGUCAUCUGCAUCCCCAUAUUUCUCCAUUAAUAUAGCCUAAGUAUCGAGCUAGCUGAGUGUACGCGACUAGCUGAGUGUAUGCUAAUAUAGCCUUAGAGGUACGCGACUUUUACAAACUCAAAAUAGAGAGAGCACGAGUGUAUGACUGGAGUUUCUCCGAAAACCACAGAUCUAGAUCGAAACAUUCAUAAAAUGUUAGCAUACUGAAACAUGUAAAAAAAAUAGAAAGAUGGCGUAAACCUAGAUAUUAGGAAAGUUUAUAGGAUCGAGCUAGGAAGGUAAAUAUAUUAUUACCUUCUGAAAGUUGGUGGUCGGAAUCCGUAAACAACAUAUGUACGUUGUAGGAUUGCCUACAACAACAACAAUGGCGACGACGACAAUGUAGAUCGAGAAUGGUUAAAACAUAGAGAACAUAAGGAAAAUUACAAACCCUAGGUAAAACGAAUGGUGGCGGUGAGAGAUGGUAAGGAGACGAUGAAAAUCGACUCAGAUCUUCACUUUAAAUAGAAUUUUUGAC
rnacentral:lncRNA from 1 species